rnacentral:rRNA from 1 species
GACGUAGGGCGCGAGCGUGUCCGGAUUUAUUGGGCGUAAAGAGCUCGUAGGCGGCUUGUCGCGUCGACUGUGAAAACCCGCGGCUCAACUGCGGGCCUGCAGCCGAUACGGGCAGGCUGGAGUUCGGUAGGGGAGACUGGAAUCCUGGUGUAGCGGUGAAAUGCGCAGAUAUCAGGAGGAACACCGGUGGCGAAGGCGGGCU